rnacentral:rRNA from 1 species
AAAUUGAAGAGUUUGAUCAUGGCUCAGAUUGAACGCUGGCGGCAGGCCUAACACAUGCAAGUCGAACGGUAACAGGAAGCAGCUUGCUGCUUUGCUGACGAGUGGCGGACGGGUGAGUAAUGUCUGGGAAACUGCCUGAUGGAGGGGGAUA